GUCCUUCAAACUCCUUGGUCCCAGACCAGAGCAUCCUCCUACAGCCCAAACCCCUCAUCCCCAGCCCCACCCUGGAGCUCGCACCCUCAG